UGUACAUCUUUCUCAUUAUAUACUUUCAAACUUAAGUUUCAUAUAUUUUUCAAGAUGACAAAGGCUAAAAAGUGCACAAAGAAAGUUUACAAGCCCCAAAAAAUCGCCCGGCUGACCACAAAUGGUUAUCUGAAUUUUUUGCGACAGUUCAAGCAAGACCAUUGCGGACUGUCGCCUAAAGAAAUGGUCAUCCGUGGUGCCAAAGCUUGGGGGCGUCUAACUAAGAAGCAGAAGGAGACAUACCGCAAAAUGCUCCAACAUACAUUUCAUAAGCGCCGUUCCUAGUCCAAGAAAGGCCCAAACCUGAUGCUGUAGUCUGUCGCCGACCUUGCGUAAGUAUGUCCUUAACUGCAGCCAAAAAUGAUGUCUAUGUUUAGUUAUAUUUCUUAGAACGGCCAAGAAAACAAAACGAAGCCUCUUGCUAAAAUAUUGCCAUUAAUGUCGUAAAUUUCCAGUGUAAUUUAAUUUAUAUAAUGUCCAAUCGUAUUUAAUGGUUGACAUUUUGAGUGAAUGUAAAUUUUCCCAGUGCUAAAUAUUUCGAACUUUAAUCAAGUAUAACGUUUAGUUCUCUCGAAA